rnacentral:rRNA from 1 species
AUUGAACGCUGGCGGCAGGCCUAACACAUGCAAGUCGAGCGGGGUUUUCGGACCUAGCGGCGGACGGGUGAGUAAUGCGUAGGAAGCUACCCGAUAGAGGGGGAUACCAGUUGGAAACGACUGUUAAUACCGCAUAAUGUCUACGGACCAAAGUGUGGGACCUUCGGGCCACAUGCUAUCGGAUGCGCCUACGUGGGAUUAGCUAGUUGGUGAGGUAAUGGCCCACCAAGGCGACGAUCCCUAGCUGGUUUGAGAGGAUGAUCAGCCACACUGGAACUGAGACACGGUCCAGACUCCUACGGGAGGCAGCAGUGGGGAAUAUUGGACAAUGGGCGCAAGCCUGAACCAGCCAUGCCGCGUGUGUGAAGAAGGCCUUCGGGUUGUAAAGCACUUUCAGUAGGGAGGAAGCGUUGUGUGUUAAUAGUACGCAGCGUUGACGUUACCUACAGAAGAAGCACCGGCUAACUCUGUGCCAGCCGCCGCGGUAACAC